UACGUAGGGGGCAAGCGUUGUCCGGAAUCAUUGGGCGUAAAGAGCGUGUAGGCGGCUCGGUAAGUCCGCUGUGAAAGUCCAGGGCUCAACCCUGGAAUGCCGGUGGAAACUGUCGAGCUAGAGUCCGGAAGAGGCGAGUGGAAUUCCUGGUGUAGCGGUGAAAUGCGCAGAUAUCAGGAGGAACACCGAUGGCGAAGGCAGCUCGCUGGGACGGUACUGACGCUGAGGCGCGAAAGCGUGGGGAGCAAACAGG
rnacentral:rRNA from 1 species